CAAAGCUUUAUAGCCUGUGUUGAGUAUAGCUACAAAAUGAAGUUUAACAAUACAAAAAUAACAUGAGCAUUCAGUUAAAAUAAACAUGACAACAGACACAUCGGAAGAGUUUGCUAUCAUACCAAGGUUUGAAUGGAGCGGAACUAAAAUAGAACUGUACGAGACUAAAGAUCUUCCUAUAAGGCCGGCUACCAUAGUAUACGCCGCUUCUACACACACAGGGCCUUGCUUCGACCCCCUUUUCUGUGAAGGGACUCUGCGCUUCCUUCAGCAUAAACACUUCUCCAGGUUCCCCACGGAUAUUAGAUUCAAGUAAAUUUCAUGAUUGGAGGGGAUGGGAGGGUGUAUGAAGGAAGGGGGUGGAUGACCCCUCCCAGACUCGCCGCUUUUGCUGUCGCAGAUGCAAUGAGGAGCAUCCUGAUCGGUUUCGUUGGAAUGUACAAAGAGGAUCAGCUUCCUGAUGAGAUGUGUUCUGCAGCCAACAAACUGAUUGAAUACGGGAAGAGAAAUAACUACAUAGAACAAAACUGCCUUUAUAAAAGCAUCACAGAUUUUACUGAUAAAGUAGGCACCCCAAAUCCUGCUGAAGCUAAGUUUGUCUUUUAAGCUAAGAAAUGUUUAGUCACUUCCUAUUUCAUGAAAAACGAUUCUACAGCUAAAGACGCUGCAGGAAAUUUAAAAUAUUUGAUUGUGCGUUCCGUAAGAGUUUACUUUUACGAGUAAUGAUAGUCAAUUAUGCAACAAACUAGUCUAAAUAUAUAUUAUAUUUGUAAAUUACUUUAUGAUCAUUCUAUAGUCGAUAGUAAAAUAAAAAUAUAUGAGGAAGUUGAGGAAGAAUAUAGUCAGACUUAAUGUAAAUCAUCACUAUCCAUUUAAUUUUCUCUGAGGGUCUUUUUCACCUUGAUUUUACUUUAAUAUGAGAAAGAUACUGUAAUAGAAUGUGAAUAUCUAUGUGAAUAUCUAUGUGAAAAUUUAUACAAUAAAGAAGCUAUGGAAAGUGUAAAA